rnacentral:rRNA from 1 species
GACGAACCGUGCGAACGUUGUUCGGAAUCACUGGGCUUAAAGGGCGCGUAGGCGGGCCACCAAGUCCGGGGUGAAAUCCUCCAGCUUAACUGGAGAACUGCCUCGGAUACUGGAGGUCUUGAGGAAGAUAGGGGCAAGCGGAACCGUGGGUGGAGCGGUGAAAUGCGUUGAUAUCCAUGGGAACUCCGGUGGCGAAGGCGGCUUGCUGGAUCUUUUCUGACGCUGAGGCGCGAAAGCCAGGGGAGCAAACGGG